GAUGAACGCUGGCGGCGUGCCUAAUACAUGCAAGUCGAGCGAACGGACGAGAAGCUUGCUUUUCUGAUGUUAGCGGCGGACGGGUGAGUAACACGUGGAUAACCUACCUAUAAGACUGGGAUAACUUCGGGAAACCGGAGCUAAUACCGGAUAAUAUUUUGAACCGCAUGGUUCAAAAGUGAAAGACGGUAUUGCUUUCACUUAUAGAUGGAUCCCGGCUGCUUUAGCUAGUUGGUAAGGUAACGGCUUCCCAAGGGAACGAUGCAUAGCCGACCUGAGAGGGUGAUCGGCCACACGGGAACUGGGACCCGGUCCAGACUCCUACGGGAGGCAGCAGUAGGGAAUCUUCCGCAUUGGGGGAAAGCCUGACGGAGCAACGCCGCGUGGGUGAUGAAGGUCUUCGGAUCGUAAAACCCUGUUAUUAGGGAAGAACAUAUGUGUAAGUAACUGUGCACAUCUUGACGGUACCUAAUCAGAAAGCCACGGCUAACUACGUG
rnacentral:rRNA from 1 species